UGGGGAAUAUUGCACAAUGGGCGCAAGCCUGAUGCAGCCAUGCCGCGUGUGUGAAGAAGGCCUUCGGGUUGUAAAGCACUUUCAGCGAGGAGGAAGGUGGUGAACUUAAUACGUUCAUCAAUUGACGUUACUCGCAGAAGAAGCACCGGCUAACUCCGUGCCAGCAGCCGCGGUAAUACGGAGGGUGCAAGCGUUAAUCGGAAUUACUGGGCGUAAAGCGCACGCAGGCGGUUUGUUAAGUCAGAUGUGAAAUCCCCGGGCUCAACCUGGGAACUGCAUUUGAAACUGGCAAGCUAGAGUCUCGUAGAGGGGGGUAGAAUUCCAGGUGUAGCGGUGAAAUGCGUAGAGAUCUGGAGGAAUACCGGUGGCGAAGGCGGCCCCCUGGACGAAGACUGACGCUCAGGUGCGAAAAGCGUGGGGAGCAAACAGGAUUAGAUACCCCUGGUAGUCCAGCGCUGUAAAACGAUGUCGAUUUUGGAGGUUGUGCCCUUGAGGCGUGGCUUCCGGAGCUAACGCGUUAAAUCGACCGCCUGGGGAGUACGGCCGCAAGGUUAAAACUCAAAGGAAUUGACGGGGUCUAGCUG
rnacentral:rRNA from 1 species